rnacentral:tRNA from 1 species
UUAAUUGAAGCCAAAGAAGAGGCCCUUCAUUGUUAAUGAAGAAAAUGACUCAUAAGUCCUAUUAAA